AUAAAAACACAUAUAGCUGUGUGGUGAACAAUCCAAUCACAAACCAAACUGAACAUCUCAACAUCAAUGAUGUCUGUCAGACGUGUUCAGAGCUAUAUUUUAGAUUAAUGAUAGCUGCUGUUGUAGUGUUGCUAGUGAUUCUGGUUGCAAGUGUGAUCUACUGCUGUUACAAAAAGUUUAAACAACCAGUUAAAGAAGGCAAGUGUUUACAUGCAAAAAUAUGAACUUUUUAAUUUUUAUCUAAUAUAGACACUAUUUGAGGUUAAAACAUGUGAUUAUUAUUAUUAAAACAGCUCAGACUCCGGAGACAGAGAUCAUUUACGCACAGCCAUUCUCUACACAAAGGCUUCAGCAUACGGUAAGAUGUUGUAUUUACAAGCUUUACUGACCCCAAAUAAAAAAACAAACAGGCAGAAGGUUAGUCAAUCUGUAGUCUGCAAUACUGACCUGAUGUAUUGACUUAAUUGCUAUUAUUGGUAAGAUUGUCAUUUCCAAUGAUGGGAAAUUCCUCUCUUAUACAGUAUGUUUGGCCAGUGUCUUUAUUGCUUUUUCUGUUUUUCUAACAGGAUUUUGUUGAAGCAGAUCGCACAGAAUACUCAAGUGUAGUGGCAAUGAGUACAUAAAAUAAAAAACUUUU